rnacentral:tRNA from 1 species
AAGAAAUUAGUUAAAUUAUAACAUUAGACUGUCAAACUAAAAUUACUAAAAGAUUAGUAUUUCUUA